rnacentral:tRNA from 1 species
GGGAUUGUAGCUCAGGGGUAGAGCACUUGCCUAGCAUGUGUGACACUGGGUUAGAUUCCCAGCCCCA